rnacentral:tRNA from 1 species
AAAUAGGCUUAUACUUUGAUUUCGACUCAAAGAAAGAGGAAACUCCCUAUUUU